rnacentral:tRNA from 1 species
UAGCUUAGUGGUAGAGUACUUGCCUAGCAUGCAUGAAGCCCUGGGUUCAAUUCCUUG